GCACUACUGAGGAGUCUCACAAUAAGAUGAAACAGCCGUCCAGUGC
rfam:Schistosoma haematobium scaffold558_25, whole genome shotgun sequence.